rnacentral:rRNA from 1 species
AUUGAACGCUGGCGGCAGGCCUAACACAUGCAAGUCGAGCGGCAGCGGGAAAGUAGCUUGCUACUUUUGCCGGCGAGCGGCGGACGGGUGAGUAAUGCCUGGGGAUCUGCCCAGUCGAGGGGGAUAACUACUGGAAACGGUAGCUAAUACCGCAUGCGCCCUACGGGGGAAAGCAGGGGACCUUCGGGCCUUGCGCGAUUGGAUGAACCCAGGUGGGAUUAGCUAGUUGGUGAGGUAAUGGCGCACCAAGGCGCCGAUCCCUAGCUGGUCUUGGAGGAUGAUACGCCACACUGGAACUGAGACACGGGCCAGACUCCUACGGGAGGCAGCAGUGGGGAAUCUUGCACAAUGGGGGAAACCCUGAUGCAGCCAUGCCGCGUGUGGGAAGAAGGCCUUCGGGUUGUAAAGCACUGUCAGCGAGGAGGAAAGGUUGGUAGCGAAUAACUGCCAGCUGUGACGUUACUCGCAGAAGAAGCACCGGCUAACUCCGUGCCAGCAGCCGCUGUAAAAC